rnacentral:rRNA from 1 species
CCUACGGGGGGCAGCAGUGGGGAAUAUUGGUCAAUGGGCGCAACCCUGAUCCAGCGACGCCGCGUGAGUGAAGAAGUCUUUCGGUAUGUAAAGCUCUAUUAGCAGGGAAGAAAAUGACGGUACCUGACUAAGAAGCGCCGGCUCAAUACGUGCCAGCAGCCGCGGUAAUACGUAGGGGGCACGAGUUAUCCGGAGUUAUUGGGUGUAAAGGGGGCGUAGAGGGUGAAGCAAGUCUGAUGGGAAAUGUCGGGGCCCAACCCCGGGACGGCAUUUGAAACUGUUGCACUUGAGUAUAGGAGAGGUAAGCGGAAUUCCUUGUGUAGCGGUGAAAUGCGUAGAUAUUAGGAAGAACACCAGUGGCGAAGGCGGCUUACUGGACUGCAACUGAUGUUGAGGCACGAAAGCGUGGGGAGCAAACAGGAUUAGAUACCCGUGUAGUC